AGUGGCGGACGGGUGAGUAACGCGUGAGAAUCUGCCUUGGGGUCGGGGACAACCACUGGAAACGGUGGCUAAUACCGGAUAAGCCGAUUGGUGAAAGAUUUAUUGCCCGAAGAGGAGCUCGCGUCUGAUUAGCUAGUUGGUGAGGUAAGAGCUCACCAAGGCAGCGAUCAGUAGCUGGUCUGAGAGGACGAUCAGCCACACUGGGACUGAGACACGGCCCAGACUCCUACGGGAGGCAGCAGUGGGGAAUUUUCCGCAAUGGGCGAAAGCCUGACGGAGCAAGACCGCGUGAGGGAGGAAGGCUCUUGGGUUGUAAACCUCUUUUCUCAGGGAGGAAGCUCUGACGGUACCUGAGGAAUCAGCCUCGGCUAACUCCGUGCCAGCAGCCGCGGUAAUACGGAGGAGGCAAGCGUUAUCCGGAAUUAUUGGGCGUAAAGCGUCCGCAGGUGGCGAUUCAAGUCUGCUGUCAAAGCACGGGGCUUAACUCCGUAAAGGCAGUGGAAACUGAAUAGCUAGAGUGCCGUAGGGGUAGAGGGAAUUCCCGGUGUAGCGGUGAAAUGCGUAGAGAUCGGGAAGAACAUCGGUGGCGAAAGCGCUCUACUGGACGGCAACUGACACUCAGGGACGAAAGCUAGGGGAGCGAAUGGGAUUAGAUACCCC
rnacentral:rRNA from 1 species